GCGUCCAUCGUCUAAU
rnacentral:tRNA from 41 species